rnacentral:snRNA from 11 species
AAAGGACAGAGGGAGAGAGAACAGUCAUAAAGGUGGUUUUCUAAGGUGAGUCUUGUCUUGGCACUCUGGAUGUGCUGACCCCUGCAAUUCCCCAAAUGUGGGAACGUCCUCUGCAUAAUUUAUGGUAGUGGGAGACAGCAUUUGUGCACUCUCCUA